rnacentral:lncRNA from 1 species
GUACAAUAAGAACUUCAAGACACUGAAGAAGGAAAUUGAAGAAGACCUCAGAAGAUGGAAAGAUCUCCCAUGCUCAUGGAUUGGCAGGAUUAAUAUAGUAAAAAUGGCCAUUUUACCAAAAGCAAUCUACAGAUUCAAUUCAAUCCCCAUCAAAAUACCAAUCCAAUUCUUCAAAGAGCUAGACAGAACAAUUUGCAAAUUCAUCUGGAAUAACAAAAAACCCAGGAUAGCUAAAGCUAUCCUCAACAAUAAAAGGAUUUCAGGGGGAAUCACUAUCCC